CAGCAGCCACGGGAAUACGAAGGGGGCUAGCGUUGCUCGGAAUGACUGGGCGUAAAGGGCGCGUAGGCGGCGAUCAAAGUCAGGCGUGAAAUUCCUGGGCUCAACCUGGGGGCUGCGCUUGAUACUUAGUUGCUUGAGUGGGGAAGAGGGUCGUGGAAUUCCCAGUGUAGAGGUGAAAUUCGUAGAUAUUGGGAAGAACACCGGUGGCGAAGGCGGCGACCUGGUCCUUGACUGACGCUGAGGCGCGAAAGCGUGGGGAGCAAACAGGAUUAGAUACCCCUGUAGUCCCUGUCUCUUAUAC
rnacentral:rRNA from 1 species